AAGCACUAAAUGGGAAAUGGCUAUUCUCAUGUUGUACAUUUCACAACUGUUUCCUGAUUAGAGGCAUUGUGUUGGUAGAACUUCUUCUCCGUGACUUGACUUUCUUUCUCCUCAGUGCCAAAGGGAUAUGUAUAUAUUUGAUUACCUUUAGGAUGGUGCAGGCUCAACUCUUCUCUCUCUUCUCUGUCAUUACAGGCACCUUCUCACAAUCAUGGUCCAUGACAGUUCCCCCUGUAGUGAACAGCACCAUAGGAGGAGAUGUGGUCCUACCCUGCUCCUUCACCCACCCCAAGCAACAAGACUACUCCAAAGGCAUCACAGUUCAGUGGAUCACCAGACAAUUCCAUGAUACGCCCUUCUUCCAAUGCAAGGUGAAAAAUGUUACUACGGGUGGAAUGAAUGAAUGCUCAGUUCCAGAGUCAUACCAACGCUUCUCAGUCAAAGGAGAUCCUAAGCAGAGGGAUCUCUCUCUCCUCAUCAGAGAUCUGGCGGUCACAGACAAUGGAGUUUACUUCUGCAGAGUAGAGCUGGACUAUUACUGGGCUGAUGGGAAGUGGCAGACUGCCAGCGGCACACAGCUCAAUAUCAUUGCUAAGGCCCAGAUUCUCAGCCUGUCUUGGGUAGAGGCGUCCCUCGGACCAGGCAACGGGAGCCUCAGGUGUGUAGUUGAGGGGAACCCCCCAUCCACCAUCACCUGGUUCUCCUCCUCUAAGGGCAACAUAGACCCAGGUGUCAGCACCAUAGGAACCCACCCAUUUCAGUGGACAAGUUCAAUCCCCUACUUCACCCAGGAAGUGUACACCUGCAGGGCAGAGAACAGCCUGGGGAGGGCAGAGAGACGGUUCCCCCUGGACCCACUGCGCUGACCGUAGCCCUCUCUGUGUGUGGGGUCCUGCUUCUGCUGCUGCUCCUUGGCGUGGCUUUAUUUUACCUGAGAAAAAGAGGAUACCUGAGAUUCUGCAAUUCAGAAAGAUUAAGCAGCAAUCUGAGUUGUGCACAGAUCCUGCUAUAGCUAUGGUCAGUGAAUCCUCUAUCUACGCCAAUGUCUCAGAAAUGGAAAGCCCACAGUCAUUGUAUAAACAUAAUUCACCAGAAGAUGGCGACAUGGAGCUACUAAAUCUGGUAUACUCAGACGUUCAUCUGAACACCACCACUCAAUCACCCCAAAGAAGCUCUCGUGUCCCCAUACCAGAUGAAGGUGUCCACUAUGCUAUUGUGAAGCUGGGGUGAACUGCCGAGGCGCAGCAGAGAGAAUGCAACUCUGGAGAAGAACUCCAGCGCGGUCAUUCGCCUCAACCACCCCAGAACCAGCUGAUGCUAUCUGGGCAAAACUUCAGUGUAUCUCUGGUUGAGUGUGGUCAUCCACCAGCUCUGCAAGGAACUCUUGUCAUCGAACUACUGAAGGGUUUUCUCAUAUUUGUAAGGGGUGCGUACUGGCGGCAGAGAAGUCAGACGCAGGAGAGCAAGAACUGUGUUUCCAAACGGCGCAGUUUAUUUUUUUUUAAACGACCGGAAAACAGAACAAUCAAAUAAUGGGUACAUAACCCGACUCACACCAGGACAGCCGUGCACAAGCACCUACAAUAAGCAAUCUGACAAGGACAUGAGGGGGAACAGAGGGUUAAAUACACAACAUGUAAUUGAUGGGAUUGGAACCAGGUGUGAUGGAAGACGAGACGAAACGAAAAUGAAAAGAGUAUCGUCGGUGACUUCGACCGCCGACCGAACAUGAAGAGGGACCAACUUCAGCGGAAGUCGUGACAAUAUUGGUGUAGAAUAAUCAUAAUAAUACAUAGUAUUUAUAUAGCAUUUUUCAAGGACGCAAAGUCGCUUGGGUCCAUGUCCAUGUUCUUACCAUGUGGUGCAUCACUAAACGAAACUAAACGUCCAUGUAGAACCACGAAGCAGAAAGAGUGUGGUGCAUUUGUACAUGUAAAUGUAUUGGUUUCCUUUGGCUGCAGUGUUUCUGGUGUUCUCAAAGUGUCACGGAGGAUCUAGUUCCUCUGGACCACAUGCAGAGAGUAACUCACUCAGGUUCUUAAGUUUGUACAGCUGAUGCAUAAAACUGUUUGGCUCGCCAUGGUAAUGUCCUUUUAGGGUGUGGUUUGGGUCCCAUAUCUGGCUUCACUUGCUUAUGUAGAGACGAGGCCUACUGGUAUGCACAGCCAGAGUGUGUGUGCGCGCCUUUAUGUGGUAAGGUUUUCUAAGCACUCUUUCCCAUUCUGCUCUGUCGCAGUCCCGGGAAGUGGUGACAGAGAAGAGCAUCCUGCCCUCGUCUCCAUGGUAACAGCUGUUUAUGGAUGGGGGGUGACAGAAACAAAACCCUACUGCUGCAAAGCAUCGAAAUAUGGAAAACUCCUUCCUGAUGGGCUUCAGUCUUAUUUCAUCGCUAUCCAUGUUGUUAUGUAGCUUGAUUGACAUGGGCCUAAUAUCUGUGCUUAGUUUGUUAUUUGUAAGUGUCUGUGGGUGCCUAGGAACAGUGGGUUAACUGCCUUGUUCAGUGGCAGAAUGACAUAAUGAUGAUGUUUAAAGCAUAUAGAUGUAAAUAAUACACUACACUGAAACUAUUUUAGCAUGGCCUGGGCUAGUCCCAUUAGUGCAGUCCCCUUGGGAUAGGAUGGUGGGCCUAUAGUUUAACACCUGUUGACACCACAUGGUUACCAAUUCAAUGCAAAACCUACAUUAGGUCUGACCUUAAAGUAAUGUGAGCUUCUUGCUUGCUUGCAAUGUGGGUGGAAAAAAAUGCUUAAAUUAACCUGGGACAAAUACAAUUCAGCUGUCGAUAUAGUACGGAGGUCGAAUGGGUAUGGGUCUAUGGUGCAGGCUACAAUGAUAUAGGGCCUACAGUGUCUUUGACAAUAGUAGGAAUACGUUUGAUGAACUUCAAACAUAUUCAGAUUGAUAGCUACAUGUUUAAUCAUCUUCUACAGAUCAACUUCAACCAUCAUGUGAACACUAUUUAGGUGGAGACUGUAAAUGCUUCAUCAUUUACAUCCAUAACACACGCGGUAAUGCCGCCAGUAGCAUGCGGCUAGAAAUGAGACCCAAUCGUGCGUGAGUGAUUUGCGGACUAUACGUGUUUUGAUAGCGCUUUCUCUUCCAGCCAGUCAUUUUAUGUCCAUGGGCGAGUUCGUUUUUCUUUACCCGGUGUCUUACACAUUUUAGGUCCUUAAAUAAAUUAACCACUCUCAUAUGGCCAUGCAAAACGAACUGGCCCAUUGAGUAAAAGCAACAUUGUAACUGUUGAAGUUGAAAAAUGCUACUGUUUCCUGGAAACCCCACCCCAACUGAAUCUCACCCUCAAUGAAGUAGGGUUACCAUGAGUUACCAAAGCCGCAAAGUCUAACUUGGCUAUCGUAAAAAAUGUAUCGUAAAAUAACCUGCAAUUGUGCUUUUUCGUCUUAUUUUAAGGUUACGGUUAGGCAUAAGGUUAGGAUUGGGUUUAAAAUCACAUUUUAAGAAGAUUUGUAGAAACAGGCGGGGUUUAUGACUUUGUGGCGGUGGUAACAAGUAACGACCAUGAAGUAGACGAAGCACAGUAGUAGCAGCUGCCUGUGUUUCUUGGGCCACGAUACACUGUAGUCUAGACUAUUUACACUGUAUUUUAUUUAUACAUACAUAUCAAAAUG